CGCAGCCGCGGUAAUUCCAGCUCCAAUAGCGUAUAUUAAAGUUGUUGCAGUUAAAAAGCUCGUAGUUGAAUUUCGGGAUCAGUUUGUUGGUCGUGCUUCGGUACGUACUGUCAUUACUGGUUUCUCCCUUCUGAAGAACCUUGAUGUCAUUAAUUUGGUGUCUUGGGGAAUCAGGACUGUUACUUUGAAAAAAUUAGAGUGUUUAAAGCAGGCAUACGCUUGAAUACAUUAGCAUGGAAUAAUGAAAUAGGACGUUUGAUUCUAUUUUGUUGGUUUCUAGGAUCGACGUAAUGAUUAAUAGGGAUAGUUGGGGGCAUUAGUAUUCAAUUGUCAGAGGUGAAAUUCUUGGAUUUAUUGAAGACUAACUACUGCGAAAAGCAUUUGCCAAGGAUGUUUUCAUUAAUCAAGAACGAAAGUUAGGGGAUCGAAGACGAUCAAAUACCGUCGUAGUCUUAACCAUAAACUAUGCCGACUAGGGAUCGGAUGAUGUUAUUUUUAAUGACUCAUUCGGCGCCUUACG
rnacentral:rRNA from 1 species